UUGAGUAAAAACCCUUUAAUAAUAAAAUAACAUUCAUGAUGUAGCUACUUUAAUUGUCUGGAAAACUUAGCUUACACUCGAUUCAACAUAUCACCUUCCACAAAGUUAAAAAAAAAGGACAUAAGAUGGCAUAAUAAAAUAAACCUCAAUUUUCAUAAGACAUUUCUUCUUGGCAAAGCUUGGCUAGCAGGCUCUUGCAUGGCCUGCGCUAAACAGGGCCGGGUACGCUCAUUGUCUCAUAUACCCUUUGGUUUUCUUUGGAUUGAAAAUGCUUUUGAACUCUGUAGAUAGUACAUCUGUUUCAGUUGGAACAGUUUGUGGAUCUGUGAGCGUGAGGAAAACUUUGUUGAAAUAAAUAUUGAUUUGGCUUAUUGCGGAAGAACACAUAAAGCUUUCUGGAAGAUUAACACUAUUACAAUCAUUAACUGUCUUACAAAAACCUAUUUAAAAUUUUUGUAUUCAUUACCAUUUUUGACAGAUAAAUAAAGAAAAAAAAAUAAACAGACUAUAUUACAAAGCUUUCAUUAUCACAAUCUACUUUAUAAGGCCAAAUAAAAAUAUGUGUCUUUGCACUAAUGAAAGCACAUUUCCAAUAUAUUCUCAAUGACUAGACAAUAUAAACACUCUACUGGGGGUGACCUUGAAUGUCUUGCAUAGCAGACUGCCCCUUGACACCACUGGCUUAGAAGCUGUACUCUCCUAUGCACCAGGAAGUAUGUUGAGUUGUUGACUUGACUUCAAAAUGAGCAUGGUUGGUUCGAGAAAUUAGUGUAAAACUUGGACAUAGGUCUUAAAGCCCAAAUAUUGAAAAAAAGAAGAAGAAAUUUGCCAAUUCCAGGGCAGCAAUAUCAACAACAACAUAAAUGAUUUGAAAAAUUUGGAUACCUCAGAGAAUCAGGGAGUUUGGGUCAUGAUAGUUGUUUUGACCUCAGCUCAAAACACAACCUAAUGAAUAUCCCACCUUUGAAACAGGAUGGUAAAAAAGUGGGAAGAGAAAGCUAGAGUUUACACUCCCUUAAUUAAGUCAGGUCAACCCAGGCCUGUCUGAUUCUGGUGAGAACUGAAAUUCAGUUGCAUAGGAAGGCUUAUCGGAGUAGGACAUAGCCAUGUUCUUUGGACUGUAUCAUUGGGAUUGUAUUCAGGGUUGCCAGGUAUGACAGACAGCAAAGUUAGAAGGGGAUUGUUAAUCCUGAAGCCAUGUAUGCUCAUGCUGAAAGCUGACCUGAUUACAAAAGACAAGAAAAAAACCAAGCAUAUAUAGUCAACUUGGUGAUUCUCAGCAAAAAUUGUAGUUGGGGGCAAACAUUUGGAUAAACCAAGAUCUUCAUAUUCAAGGUAUGGUGGGCUUAGGGAUGCUUCCAUAAUGCCAGAGCAACUCCUUUUAGUAUGCGAUUGGGGGUGUGGGGAAUCUUGCCCAGUCUGUUCAUUUUUUGAUGCCAUGUUUUCAAACCACUCCCUGAAUCGAUGGGGUGCAUGUGGGUGACAAGAAGCACUAUUUGGGUGAUGCAAGUUGAUUGACCCCAACUUUGAACAAUGUUUCCCAUUGUAAAAUUUUGGAGCCUAUUCAAUUGGUCUCCUUUUGAAAUCCAGGCCUAUAAUAAAGGUAUUUUAGAAGUGAGACAUCUCCCAGCAUAAACCAAUAUUACCACUGUCUGAGGCUGAACUGUGCACAUUUUCACAGUUUAAUGUAUACACAACUGUUCCACAAUUGCUAACAAACGACAGGCUCCCAUGCAUAAAUAAAGUUCAUUAAAAUUAAAGGGAAAGGUCUAGUUGCAAAUGAAGAAUCCUGCUAUUAAGAACCACAAUGCAUCACAUUGCUAAGUUUUUAGCCUCAUGCAUAAAAUUAUAGCACUGAUUGGCAGUUGCUAAUUAUAAUAGUACACUGUUAACACAGGACAAUUAAUUGUUCAGACCAUGUAGCACAAAUGUAGAAAAUAAUUUGUUUUCAAGACAGCAAAUGAACACAGAUUGUUUCUUCAGCAAAAUAUGAAACUGUAAACUUUGGGCUCAUUCUGCAACUUUCCCCAAUCCAGAAUAAAUAAAAUCCAAAGGGGGGAGGGGAGAAAAGAUGUACAUUUUUUAAGCGCACCUUUUUUGUCUAUUACAAAAGCACAACCUAAAACAUAUAAAGCAUUUUUCUUUUUUAAAUCACAGUUACCAAAAGAAACAGUGAAUAAUUUAUUACAUACGCUAUAUAACAUUACUCUAAACACUAUUAUCUAUGAGGUAUAUCUGAGAAAAUUCGGUAAGGAAUUGUGCGGUCUGCAUUGCCAACAUGCCCAGGUUUAUAUUAAAGCUUUGGAACCAUGAAGAACUAGAAAAGGGUAGAAGAACAAGGGGAGACAGAGGGAGGAAAGAUAAAGAACCUUUGGUAUUAUUACAAAUCUUGUUCUUUGCAGGGUUGCAAUACAAAGCACCACAGUACAAUAAGUCCACCAGGUACAGUAUGGAGGCCCAGUUGAAGCUGAGGUAUUCACAGGAAGGAUUAAAAAAAGCACAGAGAGGUCCAGACUGGCUAAAUCGUUGCUUUGGUUCAAGCAAGGCACUCGUCCCGUGGUUAUGUCACACUUUGCAAGUGAAGCAUGAGACUGAUAAGGAAUUGCUGUGGAGGAUUCUGACAAUCAAGGAUGUUUUCUGUGUUCAGGCUGCCAUUGUUUUUAAUGGAUUCUCCCAGGUGACUGGUUGGGAGGUAGUUUGGGUGGGGGAAAGGGACCCACCUAAUUCAGCAAAUUAGGUCAUCUCCAAGCCUGGUUAGCAUCCUGUGGAUUUUAGCUCCAUGAGGAAAGGGGAAGAAAAUCAAAGCAUCUUAGUCAUAACCCAAAGGCCUUGCUAUCUGGUCCAUGAUUGCCUAUUUAGGAUAAGAGAGACCCAUCCCAGAGGAAGAAAGGGAGGAAAAUAAAUUGCAAAAUUAUCAGGACAGUGCCUAGAAGCAAAAAAAAAAAUGGGUACAUCGGACUGAAUGGUGGCUUCUGCAUUCUGUUAUUUUCUUUAAUGUCCUCUGCCAAGUCUAUAUCAUACCUGGAGUGUAUGUUGUAUGUGUGAGAUUGGUGUUUUCUUUCCUACUGUAUCUGACUAAAAGUCCCAUCUAAGAGCUCAAAGCCUCCAUAUUAUAUGAAAGUGCAUCACAUUAUUACUCAGUACAUAGACUUAUAGACUGCAACCAUCUCUGAAUGUAUCUAAAACCUAUUUGGUUGAAAGCUAUGGAUGGUUACACUGGCUUACAUACAAGCCCACUUCGAUGAACGGAGCUUAAUAGCAAUUUAAUCAUUUAAUGGAGAUGAAAAGAAACCAAAAAGAAAGCUAAUUAAUUUAAUGAAAGCGGCAACUGUUAAGUAAUCAUUUCUUAAGUUGGCAUCCUAUUUUGAAAUUUUAACUCUUUAUACAUAGAGAGCUCUCCUUAGUAGCAUAUCCAUGCUAAGAAAUGUUGGGUCAGAUCUAGUACUGAAAUGCACCAAAAAUGUAUGAGAAAAAUGAAUGGGAGAAAGGAAUUUAUUUUCUUAUAGUGUCAACCAAAUUUAUUUUAUCUUGACUAUCUAACAGCAACAAUCCAUUAAACUGAAGAGGCCAAAUACUACUACUUACUCUGCUCUUUUUAAUCUUGUGGGGUGACAGACCAUACUUAGGCAAUACAAGGGAAAAUAGUAUUUAUCCAAGUAGUUUGAUCAACACAGGUAAUCUAAUUAAAAUCAAACUCUGGCUUUAUAGACAUGGGAAUAUUAUUGUCAUGAAAGAAGAUUUCCUUGAGCAUCUAAUUAUGUUUGCCAGUUCAUAUAGUGACUACCUGAAUAUGCCCACAAUUUUUUUGGAGGGUGAAUAUAUUGAAUAAGCAAUACUAAUCCAUUCUCAAUGUUGAAUGAUUUCUACCUUCCAAUUUUUGGUAAUUAUUGAGUCAUCUUCCUUUUUGGUUUAUAUAAAAAGUAGGGGAAAAUAGGAGAGUGGACUGGAGUAAUACAAAAGUAUGUGCUAAAUCCUGCUAUUAAAUUAUUUGUAACACCAAGUAUCCCUUCUCUCCUCUGGGCUUCUUCAGAGGGCUCUAUCUUUUCCUAUUAAAAUUAUGUAAAGUGAGUAUAGGUAUUCUCUCCUUUCCAGCUCUAACAUUUUAUGGUUUGAUUUUCUGAGGGAAAAUGAUUAAAAAUCUGUACCCAUAUAAUUAUGAAGCAGCAUUGGGGAUGAUAGAAAUGGAAUAGAUGUCCAUUCCCAACCAGUCCUCUUCUACACCAUCCCACUAAUUUGGUUCCAAAUUUAUUCAAGAAGUUCAUUUGAAUCCAAUUGAAGUAUUACCUGAAUUGUGUCUUGGACGCUUGGACCACAUUUCUUGAUGGGCAGCAAACAAACAAGAGAAACACAGAAAACAUUCCUUCCUGAGUCAGCAGCCACCAUUGCCUAAGUAUUUACUUCUUUGGGGUAUCUGAGCUGUGGCUGUACACACCAUACGUCAGAGAGAAGAGUUCAAACUAUAAAAGAGCACAAGCAAAAUGCAGACCGCACAGAGAAAGAAAUCUUUGGUAUCUUUGGUAUCAUCAACACGAUUAAAAUUACAAAUGGAAAAAGUCAGUGAGGUAGCCUUCUUUGGUUCUCACUAGAAAUAGAAAGUUUUUUCUUUUGUUUUCUCUUUUUUCCUCUUUUUUUGUUGUUUUUUUGUUUUAUUUUGUUUUUUGGUUGUUGGUGAUUUUACACACAGAGUUCAUUCUUGGAAGCAGCUAGUGGAAGGGUUUCUCUCUUUUUGCUCGUCAUGAUUUUUUUGGUUUUGUUUUGGAUUCCCUCCCUCCCUCCCCCAUUCCCACCCCUAGUUUAUGUUGUAGAAGCUCCAAAGUCCAGGCCAAUGAAGUCAAGUCCUGGCUUUUAUUUCUGAAUGCAUGGGUUCAGGUUGAAGAGUCAUUGCUUGUCCAUGAAAUUCGCUCUGUUGUUCUGACAGCAAAGAAAAUGUAGUGCUUUCUGUUAUCUUAAAUAAAAAAUAUAAACUAUACAAGUGUGCCUGUAGCAGGCAUGGAAUAAAUUAAAUAAAUAAAAUACAUUAUGAAGGCUUCAUGGGCCACAAUAAUUAAAAGGUAAAGCUCACCAUUGGACCAGGUGGGGUUGCGAGCUCAAGUUAAAUAAUUUAAUUGUUGAUAUUUAAACAAUUGACAGAAAAUUAAUAAAAGGAAAAAUCCCUCAAAUGUUUAAAAUUAAAAAAAACAAUGUAACCGAUAUUUCUUUCCUGUCUGUAACAGAAUUUGGCUGCUUUAUAAAGCAAACUAACCUUCAGUUUUCUCAUUAAAAAAAUCUGCAUCUCUGAUGCAUUUGCUACCCUUCUAGAUUUUGAUAAAUAAGUACAAUAUAUAAAAUCAAAGCUAAUUAAGGAUGAAUUAAAUAAUCAAGAAAAAAAUUCUAUACAUUUUUGGUCUAGAAACUAAUUAAAUAAAUUAAUUACAUUAUUGGUAGCUAGCCUAUGGGGUCAUAACCCAAAUAUGUCAUGGAAAUAAAAGGAAAUUUUAAAGCUUUUUUUUUAAGUUUCAAUUUUUAAACAAAACUUUACAACACUUUCAGAUCCCCUUAAUUAAUGUAAAGUCAGCAAAUGUAACCUAUAAAGCUUUCUUACUUUCUUUAAAAAAUAUUUAAGAUAUUGUGACAAGGAAGAAAAAAAAUGACCAAUUCCCUCCCUCCCUCCCCUUGCCCCAUAGCUAGCACAACCUCCCCAGAGCUGUCAUUGCUGUCCUGACCCUCAGAAAUGAGAGUCCUUUCUCUAGCUUGGUUUGAGCUUUGCUUUGCUGGUUUCAUCCUUUCCUGGGUCUUUGGAAUUAGCUUUAGUUAAGAAAGAUCCAGAAUAAAGCUAUUCAACCGAAAUAAUCAACCACAUUCUUCAUUCCUUCACAGAUGAUUAAACAAUAUUCAAGGUUUCUUGCAAGUUGAAUUCAUCUUAGAUGUGCCCAAAUGAAAGUAUCUCCAAGGAUACAAACAAAAGAUGCUGGGACUUGGAGUUCUGAUUUGGUUUGGAUUUUUUGCACUUUGGUUUUCAAUGUUACAUUAAAUAAAUGGAAAAGAUGCACAUGGUAGAUGUACCAACGACAUAUGAAAUACUAUUUUGAAGGUCAACGUCACACAAUAUAUAUUAUGCAUGUAGGUGUACACCUAAAUACAUGCAGUGUUGAUACUUUAAUGUGACAAUGUGUGUUGCUGUCAUGAAGUUACAUAUUUGAUGGACAUAUAUGACAUUAUAUUCUUAUUAUGUGUAGUCUGUCUACAUUCAACCAUAUCAAUUGUAUAUAAUUUCGAGAAGACUCAUUUACCAAUAUCAGUGCUAUGGAAAGAAUCCUAUUGUAAGAGAUAAUGAAAUGGAAGAUUUUGAUGGAGUGAAUGACCAAAAAAUCAAGAAGUCCAAUCUUGCAGGACAUAAAAGAACCCUUUUUCCUUCACAGAAAGACAAUAAACUGGUUAGUUUUAAUGGACUUAUCUUGAAAAGCUAAAAGGAAAUCUUGGAUUUUUGAUUUAACCUGCUUCUGUUUGUCAAAGAUAGUAAAAACUGGGAUUUGAGUAGUUUCAUGGGUGAGUGGUUUCAACCUCAUGGAACUAUGAGGGUCCCUCAUAGAAUUCAGGUCAUUGGAACUAGCAAUCUUUAUAGUUUUUUUUUUCCUUGUCCAUUAACAUGAGACUCAGCAUGAUUGUACUGCUAAUUUGGAUUCAAUAUAAUUCUUUCCUAAGCAUACUGAAUGGAUGCUCAAGGAUUUCCCGAGAAAAGAAAAAAAAAGAAUUUUUUUUUCCUGUAAAGGAAUAGAUAUUGGUGAUGGCAAUUCACCAUGAUGAGAACACACAUGCUUCUUCAUCCAGGAUCCCAAAUAACAUGGGAUUUACUUUGCAAUAUAGGACAAAUCCUUCUUCAUUUAUUAAAGAAUUCCUGUACCAAUGGAGAGAACUUCAAGCUUAAGGUCAAAAUUGGACUUAGAUUCCCUCCAAGGUCUUGUCCAACUCUGAGAACCUAUCUCUUUAACUUAGAAUUUUGUCUAUAACUACAAUUAUCUGUUCUUAUAGAGAGUAUUCAUCAUAGACUGAAAGACUAGUACAAAACUAGUGUAGUUUUCUGUCAUCACAAGUAAAUGCCAAAAUGCUACGAGCCUACCAGAUUUCCCUUUCCUAUUAAAAUGAUGAAGCCUAGGCCCACACAGAAUGACAAAAUAAAUCUUUUUUUCUGCCUCUAGCCUACUUCAAACUGUGGUGGUUAUCUGUAAAGCUGUUGUAUAUAUGGACCACUUUCUUUCCUCACUUUUCAAGGUGUCUUGUUACUCUUAUACAUCAUUAGAAUUAAUCUUUUUUAUUUUUGUAAUCUUUCCAGUAGCCAAUAUGUUAAAAAAAAAACAAACCUUAAGAUUAUUACAACCUUCUGAAAAACCAAAGCUGAGCACAGGCACAAAUUUUGGUGGCCUAGGCCAAAUCAGACCUCACUGUAAUCCCACUUAGAGUUUCUAAAGUGGUGAAUUGUUUCCAGGGUUUUCAUUAUGUUUUCAAUAUAGUCAGCUUUCAAGUACUUGCACUUAUUGGAAGGAGGGAAAGAGAGGGAAUCUAAAUGGUAUUUAAUUUGGCUCUGGAAAUCAUUGUUUGAUUUUAGUGAUGAUAAAGAGACACAAAAAAAAUUUAUCUUCUUUCUUAUGUUUUUCUUUGAUUAAAUGGAAGUCAGAUUGCAUUUUUCCAGCACACAUUUGCAGCAAAGUGGGGGAAAAUGUUAAGAAUGAACUAAAUAAUGAGGCAAAGCCCAUGAAUUGUAAAAUUAAUAUUACUAUGAGGAAAAAAUCAAAGGAAAUAAAUGUAGGGGGUAAAUUUUGAAAAUAUGACCUAGAAGGAUGUAUUUUAAGUUACAGUUUCCUUGCUACAUUCAAGCCACUCAAAUUCAAAUGCAUAUGCAGAAAUCAAGAGCAUUACAGAAUAGUUUCUUCUAUGCAUUGAAUCUUUGCAUUAUGUUGCCAUGGACAUAUAUUUAUUCGAUGGUAACUACCAAUACCUUCUGUAAUAGCACAAACCAAAUAACAUCUCCCAGAUUUUUGGGAAUAUUUACUUUGGGUCCAUUAUUUUAAGUUAGAGAUAUUUUUCAUUAUUUAAUGACUGCUAAAUUUCAAAAUUUGUAACCUCAGGGCAUAUUUCCUCCUUUAUCUCUCCCCUCCCCCCAACUCCACAGCUGAUAAUCUCUAUAUUUCAUGCAACACUGGUGUGAAAUCCCCACUUCAUACAGUCCUUAAACUAUUGUGUUGCAUUGGUGAGUUUUCUAUGAUUAAAGGGAUGAAUACUAAAUAGAAAACAGGUGCAAUUAUUAGGUAAUUUUCUUAGAAUCAUCAAAUUUGAAAAUAUAAGAAAAUGGACUUCCAUAACCUUUCCGGGUCACUUGCUUUUUUUCUUUUUUCCUAUAGACUAUAGGCUAUGGGUUUAGCUAAGGGUUAGCCUGGUAAGUGGAAAGAGAACUGCAUUUGCAGUGGGAUGUUCUGGGUAUCAAUUCUGGAUCUACAAUUUACUGCCUAUUUGACUAUGAUCAAGUCAGUUAAUCUGUCUGGGCUCCAUGAAAUGAAGAGAUUCUUUUGAUAGAAAAAAGCUUGAAAUUUUGAAAGCUAUGUGUUUAUAAUCUCUUUUAAGAGCAAAAAUCUCAGAUUGUGCAAGAUUUUGCUAAAAGUAUGGAGUGACAUUCUUUUCUUACAUAGUAUAACCUUUCCCCAAACACAAGAGAAACUGGAGAUGAAUGUGACUAGUACUCUAAGGUAAAGUUUUGUCUUUUGUUCACAAGAUUAUCCAAAAAAUUUUUUCUUCAGGCUGGACACCUUUUGAAGAUAACAAUCACUCACGAUGUUCAGGUGUUUGCUAAGACUUUUCGAUUCCAAGAAACAGUGGUCCUUUAAAUCAUUUUCUGGGCAAAGACAGACUACUUUGAUUUGAGGGGCAACAUGGCUAAGGGAAAAUUUGCUUUUUUCAUCCUGUAUGUUGAAUAUUUUCUUGCCUGGAAUAUCUUCUUUUCUCAGUACCUUGGAGGGUUGAGGAGGAAAUGAAAUGAGGUUGACAAAAUAUCUUGCCUAUAGCAGAUAUUUAAUAAAUAUUUGUUGCCAUUUUUGGACAUGGUCAAUACAGGAAUUUGUUUUGUUUGAAUAUUUGUUAUGAGUAUUUUGUUUUUCUUUUUCAUUGAGGAAGGAAGAGAAAGAAUGGAGAGAAAAUAAAUGCUUGUUAAGUGAAAGAAUGAAUUAAAAUAGUUUCAAAUAUGACAGAAUUGUUUAAUUAAAGGGAAUUAAUUAAUAUCCACUUAGGUGAUGAAGAAUUUUGAAAAUGGAAGCUGGAAGACUGUUUGCUAGAACAUAACUUCCACUCCACAUCUGAAGUUACUCAAUUUGAACGAAACCUCUAUAGAUGGAGAGUUAGGGAAGAUAUCUUGGGCAGACAGAAUUCUCCAGGAUAGGAAGUUCCAGACACACAUGUCUCUUUAAACUUUGGUUUGUGUUUUCCUGUUGUGGAAAAUAUCAUAACCUUUCCUCCCCAAUCUUCCAAAUUGACUGUGGUUAUAUCCAGGCUUUAGAUAUAGUUCUAUAAUCACCCCCUGAGGGACCUGAUUUGCCUGUCAAAGCAAGGUUGGACUUUAACCGACUAGAAGUCAUAUCAACAUGUCUAAAACCCACAUGUGUUGGAGAAGACUAUAAGAAUAUGAAAUUUCCUUGAGGAAAAACAAUGAUGGGGUGGAUUUUCUUCUUAAAGGGGAUUUUCAUCUUUGGUAACAAGAUGGGGAAGCUCUAUUAAAUAUUUCCUGAUAAUUAUAUGAUGGGCUUCUUAUUGUUGUUAGUUCAAUCCUGAGUAGGACCUAAGAUUUAUAACAAUAACCUGGGUUGAGGUGGAGAUUUAGAACAUCUUAUUCACUCCUACUGCAAACAGUGAAUUUGUUGCAGGAUAGAGUUAUAUUUGGUGGAUAUAAGCCUGGAUAUUUCAUCUCUAAAUACCAUAUAUCUAGAGUGGUUCUUUGCCUUUGGAACGGCAUGGAAAAUGAAUACAAUUCUGAAGUGUGUAUACUUAACAAAUAGAACAUACAGCAGUAACAACAUGUCACUUUUUGACAGCAAUAUUUUGUGGAUCUCAUGGAUAUCAAGAUAGUUUUGUAUACAUAUAUGUAUGUAUGCAUAUAUACAGAAUAUCCCAAAAGUCUUUGUGCAGUUUAAAGCUAUAAAAGCACAAAACUGCACAACGACUUUUGGGACAUGCUAUAUAUAUGAAUAUAUAUUUCCGCUUAGAAAUGGAGCUUUAUAGAUGAUUUUAAAAGCUAAUAGAAAAGUAGAAAUCACAAUAAAUUUUACAUGUUUUCUGAAAUGAGCCCUGUUUAGAUGUAGCAACUACAUGGAGACAAAGCUAUCAUAAUGGCAAACUCUUUGGUAUUGUGGAAGGGGAAAAGAUUUGCCCAGCACAGUGUCCCCCUUCACUCCCCUGAUGAUAAGGCUCUGAUAUUAGGAACGAAUUUUAGGUGGUCAAGCAAAGAACAUUCAAGUGACAAUCUCUUCUCCCACAUUCCCUGGAUGGAGAAGAGAGAUUAGUUAAGUAUCCCAAUAUCUUACACUUGGAGUCUGUGGUACCUUUGGAAAGAUUCCAUGCUGGGGUAGAGACAAUAAAGGCAAAAAAGGAAAUAAAAUAAAAUAAAUGACCCUUUUCUUUUGUUGCUCAAAGAAACAGAAUUGAUUACCUUUACACAAAUCAAUGAUGCUAUUAGCAUUUUAGCCGUGCAAGAAGAGAUAAUGAACUGAAACAAAAGGUGUGAGAAAUCCUCAUCUUUGGUAUUGUAGCUGUUGAGGUUUCCGUUGCUCUGUUCCUUAUUCUUUUGAAAAACUGCAUAGGCACAAAUUAAAGACAAUCUUCAACUUUAAGAUUACCAAGUGAGUUGUCAAAUGAAGCAGCAGCCAAUGGAGGCUUUUCUUUGUUUCCAUUCCUGUUUCAACCCUUUCUUUGAAAUCUGCUUCCAAAAAAUGUCCUAAGAGGUCUGUCCAGACACAAUGUGUCGCACAACAUUGUUUUUCCUUCUUUGUUGUUUUUCAUUUAGCAUUCAUUUUUUUACUUAGUUAUUCAUCUUUAAUGGAACAGUUUUUAUUUGUUGCAGAAGUAGGUGCAGAAAAGUUUCUUUGGUUUCGAUUAAGUAAUACAUAAAAAAUCUCAAGUGUCUUUAAAGAAUCACUGCAGUGUUUGGCUUGCUUUUGAACACUCCAAUGGUGCUCUCCAGGGGCCAUUCACUGGUAAAUAUGCACAUUGUGACCAUCACAAUCUCCAGGAGAAGGACUGUAGGCCUCAUUUGGAAGCUGAUCACCACCAAGGACAGCCAUUGUGGUUAACCCUUCCCGUGUGACUUGGCUAAUGUUCUCGGUAUUGCCAUACUGCUUACCCAAAGGGCCAGCCAAAUGCAAGAGCUGAGUGCCAUUUGGAGUUGCAGAGGCAUUCUGAUUUCUAAAAGUAAUCACAGUAUUUUUAGGCUAGAAAAUGGCAAGUAAGAAAUGUCUUUGGUUUGCAGGAUUCUGCUUCUUUGGUGUGCUGUGUUUUCUCCAGAUUUAAUCAGUCGUUAUACAGGGAUGAUUGAACAAUGAAAGAGGCUUGGGAUUCAGAUGAAAAAGUUAUGAACAAUAGUAUUGGGAUGACAUGUUGAUUGGUUGUUGGA
rnacentral:lncRNA from 1 species